rnacentral:rRNA from 1 species
AUUGAACGCUGGCGGCAGGCUUAACACAUGCAAGUCGAACGAGUGGCGGCCGGGUGAGUAAUGCUUGGGACUCUAGCUUAUGGAGGGGGAUAACUACGGGAAACAGUAGCUAAUACCGCGUACCAUAGGAUGAGCCCAAUUGGGAUUAGGUAGUUGGUGAGGUAAAGGCUCACCAAGCCGACGACGUCUAGCUGGUCUGAGAGGACGACCAGCCAAACGGGGACUGAGAGACGGCCCAGACUCCUACGGGAGGAAGCAGUGGGGAAUAUUGCGCAAUGGGGGCAACCUGACGCAGCCAUGCCGCGUGAAUGAAGAAGGCCUUGGGGUUGUAAAGUACUUUCGGUAGCGAGGCUUUAACUACAGAAGAAGCACCGGCUAACUCCGUGCCAGCAGCCGCGGUAAUUC